rnacentral:rRNA from 1 species
AGCGAACGCUGGCGGCAGGCCUAACACAUGCAAGUCGAACGGCAGCACAGUAAUAGCUUGCUGUUACGGGGGGCGGAUGGCGGACGGGUGAGGUGUAUAUCGGAAUCUUCUUUUUCGGGGGGGUUAACGUAGGGAAAGUUACUCCAAUACCGGAUAUGACGUACGGGGGAAAGCAGGGGAUCUUCGGACCUGUCGCGGUUGAACUAGCCGAUGUCGGAUUAGAUAGUUGGCGGGUGAAAGGCCCACCCAGGCGACGAUCCGUAGCUGGUCUGGGAGAGUGGUACGCGACCCUGGAGGUGAGACACGGUCCAGACUCCUGCGGUAGGCCGCAGUGGGGAAUAUUAGGCAAUGGGGGCGAGUCUGAUCCAGCGAUACCGCGUGGGAGACGAAGACGUUCGGGUUGGAAAGCCCUUUUGUUGGGAGAAAAACGCAGCAGGUUAAUACGCCGCUGUACUGACGGUACCCAGAGAAGAAGCACCGGCUAACUUCGUG